UUGCUACUUUUGCCGGCGAGCGGCGGACGGGUGAGUAAUGCCUGGGAAAUUGCCCAGUCGAGGGGGAUAACAGUUGGAAACGACUGCUAAUACCGCAUACGCCCUACGGGGGAAAGCAGGGGACCUUCGGGCCUUGCGCGAUUGGAUAUGCCCAGGUGGGAUUAGCUAGUUGGUGAGGUAAUGGCUCACCAAGGCGACGAUCCCUAGCUGGUCUGAGAGGAUGAUCAGCCACACUGGAACUGAGACACGGUCCAGACUCCUACGGGAGGCAGCAGUGGGGAAUAUUGCACAAUGGGGGAAACCCUGAUGCAGCCAUGCCGCGUGUGUGAAGAAGGCCUUCGGGUUGUAAAGCACUUUCAGCGAGGAGGAAAGGUCAGUAGCUAAUAUCUGCUGACUGUGACGUUACUCGCAGAAGAAGCACCGGCUAACUCCGUGCCAGCAG
rnacentral:rRNA from 1 species